GAAUUAGAUCCCUAAAUCCCGAUCAGGAUUUCAUUUGACUCGCCGCUUCGCUUCGGCCCUUCCCACGCCAUCACUACUCACUCCUCUUUGAUUCUCGCCGCCGCUGAUCACCUGUGAGGUUGCUACUCCGGCGGUCCUCCUUGCCCAACCCUCUCUCCUUUCGUCGUGUCUUUGCAUCACUCCGUCGAUCCUCCUGUCGCCGAGCACCUACCAAGCUGCGACUCAACUUCUCCGCCGAAUCUGAUCCUCCUUGCUCAGCCCUCCCUCCUCCCUCAUCCCGUCGCUAGAUCAGCUCAUCCCGUCGCUUGAUCCAGCUCAUUGCUCCUGAGUUAUUGUUGUUCAUCUACUCCAAACAUGUCAACUCGAAACACAUUGUCAGCUCAAGAAUCGAGCACAACUCCAGUUAUGGGAGGAGUUCAAGCAAGUACAAAUGAUAUCAAUGAAGCUUCUCAAAGCGAGGAUGUGACUGAUAAUAAUGAAGAUGAGGAAAACAAUCCAUAUUGUCGGAAGAAAAGGAAACGCACAUCUCCAGUAUGGACUGAUUUUAAACAGAUUACUUUACCCGAUGGGAAGAUGAAGGCCGAAUGUAUUCAUUAAUAUGAAUUAUUCAACUUAUUGAUGAAGAGUGCUUCUCCAGAUUUUCAAAAGGUUAGUCGUGCCACUGCAAAGAAAGAUUGUAUUACUUCUUAUGAAAUAGAGAAGAAAAAAUUAAUGGGAGUAGAAACGGUUCAAAUGUUGCUUUGCGCAGAAGAUUGGUUAUGUGCCCAUUACCAAAUCAAGAAAAAAGAAAAAGAAAAUUCGGGGCUUAAAGAGAUUCGUUUGACUUAAAGUCAGCCGAAUAAAAUUCUGUUUGAGUGGUAUCAUUUGCUGCUGCCGUAGUGAUUGGAAGAAGAUAAAAGCCAGGCCGAUUGAGUUAAGAGAUGAACUCUGUUAAUUUCUUUGCUUAUUGAUGUAAUUUUCAUGUAGUGUUAAGAACUAUUAAGUGUUAAGGAUUUAUAAUGCAUGUGUUGAGAGGUUAAGUUGUUUAAUUUAGUUGGGUUCGUUUGGCUAUGAAUGUGUUGACAGGUUAAGUUGUUUAAUUUUAUGUUUGUUGGGUUUGUGUGGCUUGCAUGUUAUGUAUACAUUUCUACAAAUAAUUUUCAAUUACUGCAA